AUGCCACCGAAUGGUCUCUUGCUGCUGUUGACAUUUUUAUGCCUUAAUAUAUCCCUUAAAGUCCUGUCUAGCGCCUCAAAACAUAUCUUGUUUGCCAUUGGAGCCUCGUCCCAUAGUAUUAGUGACGUCUUCUUUAGUAGGUCUGCCAAGUGUGAACCUUGUUUAAUGUCACAUGUUGACUCUUCUGUAAGGAUUAGGGGGAUGUGGAACCUCGAGUGUGCUGUUCUACCUCCCUGUAGAAGCAGAGCUGCAAUACCACAUGACGCCACUGCUAGUACUAUCUUGCCUUCAGAACACAGCUUUGUUGUGAUUGCCUUCCACAGAUAUGUCUUACCUGUCCCACCAUAUCCAUCCACAAAUAUUUGUUUUCCCAAAUCUUUGUCAAUUGAUUCCAUUACUGAGUCAAAUGCAUGA
rnacentral:rRNA from 1 species